UCAAGCGUGAGGUAAGGGCAAUUCGUGGAUGCCUUGGCAUGCACAGGCGAUGAAGGACGUGGCACGCUGCGAUAAGCUGCGGUGAGGUGUGAGCAACCUUUGACCCGCAGAUUUCCGAAUGGGGAAACCCACCCUCACCAUUUAAUUUCGCCUCUGAGUGAUCAGGGACGGAGUUAAAUGGGAAGGGUAUCACUAAGCUGAAUACAUAGGCUUUGGUGAAGCGAACCCGGAGAACUGAAACAUCUCAGUACCCGGAGGAAAAGACAUCAACCGAGAUUCCGUGAGUAGUGGCGAGCGAAAGCGGAGUAGGCCAGUGCCUUCAAUUCAACUAGCAGAACGACCUGGAAAGGUCGGCCAUAGCGGGUGACAGCCCCGUAUGCGAAAGUGAGAUUGAAGGACUCGAGUAGGGCGGGACACGUGUAAUCCUGUCUGAACAUGGGGGGACCACCCUCCAAGCCUAAAUACUCGUGCAUGACCGAUAGUGAACUAGUACCGUGAGGGAAAGGUGAAAAGCACCCCGAUGAGGGGAGUGAAACAGUACCUGAAACGGAUUGCCUACAAGCAGUUGGAGGGUCCUUGAGGCCUGACAGCGUACCUCUUGCAUAAUGGGUCUGUGACUUAAUGUAUCAAGCAAGCUUAAGCCGAUAGGUGUAGGCGCAGCGAAAGCGAGUCUGAAUAGGGCGCCAUAGUUUGAUGCAUUAGACCCGAAACCCGGCGAUCUAGGCAUGACCAGGUUGAAGGUGCGGUAACACGCACUGGAGGACCGAACCGAUUAACGUUGAAAAGUUACCGGAUGAGUUGUGUUUAGGGGUGAAAGGCCAAUCAAGCCGGGAAAUAGCUGGUUCUCCGCGAAAACUAUUGAGGUAGUGCCUCGGAUGAAUACCCUAGGGGGUAGAGCACUGGAUGGAUGCGGGGGUCGCGAGAUCUACCAACUCUAACCAAACUCCGAAUACCUAGGAGUAAUAUCCGGGAGACAGACGGCGGGUGCUAAGGUCCGUCGUCAAGAGGGAAACAGCCCUGACCUACAGCUAAGGUCCCCAAGUCGUGUCUAAGUGGGAAAGCAUGUGGGAAUCCCAAAACAACCAGGAGGUUGGCUUAGAAGCAGCCAUCCUUUAAAGAAAGCGUAACAGCUCACUGGUCUAAUCAAGGGUUCCUGCGGCGAAGAUGUAACGGGGCUCAAGACACGCACCGAAGCUUAGGGUGUGCACUAUGUGCAUGCGGUAGCGGAGCGUUCCGUAAGCCUGUGAAGCGUCCUGGUAAUGGGGCGUGGAGGUAUCGGAAGUGCGAAUGCAGACAUGAGUAGCGAUAAACAGGGUGAGAUGCCCUGUCGCCGAAAGACCAAGGGUUCCUGCGCAAGGCUAAUCCGCGCAGGGUGAGUCGGACCCUAAGACGAGGCCGAAGGGCGUAGUCGAUGGGAAUCAGGUUAAUAUUCCUGAACCUGGGGAUGUGUGACGGAUCGCUUAAGUUGUAUCCUCUUAACGGAUUGAGGAUGCUUCGACGCGGUUCCAGGAAAUAGCCUCCCCGUACAGUCCGUACCCGAAACCGACACAGGUGGUCAGGUAGAGUAUACCAAGGCGCUUGAGAGAAGUGUGCUGAAGGAACUCGGCAAAUUGCCUCCGUACCUUCGGAAGAAGGAGGCCCCAUCUAUGCGCAAGCACUGAUGGGGGGCACAGGCCAGGGGGUAGCGACUGUUUAGCAAAAACACAGGGCUCUGCUAAGUCGGCUUCAAGACGACGUAUAGGGUCUGACGCCUGCCCGGUGCCUGAAGGUUAAGUGGAGAUGUGAAAGCAUCGAAAUGAAGCCCAGGUAAACGGCGGCCGUAACUAUAACGGUCCUAAGGUAGCGAAAUUCCUUGUCGGGUAAGUUCCGACCUGCACGAAUGGCGUAACGACUUCCCCACUGUCUCCAGCACAUGCUCAGCGAAAUUGAAUUCUCCGUGAAGAUGCGGAGUACCCGCGGUUAGACGGAAAGACCCCGUGCACCUUUACUGCAGCUUCAGAGUGGCAUUAGGAAAGAACUGUGUAGCAUAGGUGGGAGGCUUUGAAGCCAGGUCGCCAGAUCUGGUGGAGCCAUAGGUGAAAUACCACCCUGUUGUUUUCUGAUGUCUAACCUGCGCCCAUGAAACUGGGCGAGGGACCCUCUGUGGCGGGUAGUUUGACUGGGGCGGUCGCCUCCUAAA
rnacentral:rRNA from 1 species